GGACUACCGGGGUUUCUAAUCCCAUUUGCUCCCCUGGCUUUCGUUCAUCAGCGUCAGUUACGGCCCAGUUAGUCGCCUACGCCACUGGUGUUCUUCCUGAUAUCUACGCAUUUCACCGCUACACCAGGAAUUCCACUAACCUCUACCGCACUCCAGUCUGCCAGUAUCCAGUGCACUCCCAGGGUUGGGCCCCGAUCUUUAACACCAGACUUAACAAACCGCCUACGAACCCUUUACGCCCAAUAAAUCCGGACAACGCUCGCAUCCUACGUCUUACCGCGGCUGCUGGCAC
rnacentral:rRNA from 1 species